rnacentral:rRNA from 1 species
AGAGUUUGAUCAUGGCUCAGAUUGAACGCUGGCGGCAGGCCUAACACAUGCAAGUCGAACGGUAACAGGAAGCAGCUUGCUGCUUUGCUGACGAGUGGCGGACGGGUGAGUAAUGUCUGGGAAACUGCCUGAUGGAGGGGGAUAACUACUGGAAACGGUGGCUAAUACCGCAUAACGUCGCAAGACCAAAGAGGGGGACCUUCGGGCCUCUUGCCAUCAGAUGUGCCCAGAUGGGAUUAGCUUGUUGGUGAGGUAACGGCUCACCAAGGCGACGAUCCCUAGCUGGUCUGAGAGGAUGACCAGCCACACUGGAACUGAGACACGGUCCAGACUCCUACGGGAGGCAGCAGUGGGGAAUAUUGCACAAUGGGCGCAAGCCUGAUGCAGCCAUGCCGCGUGUAUGAAGAAGGCCUUCGGGUUGUAAAGUACUUUCAGCGGGGAGGAAGGUGUUGUGGUUAAUAACCGCAGCAAUUGACGUUACCCGCAGAAGAAGCACCGGCUAACUCCGUGCCAGCAGCCGCGGUAAUACGGAGGGUGCAAGCGUUAAUCGGAAUUACUGGGCGUAAAGCGCACGCAGGCGGUCUGUCAAGUCGGAUGUGAAAUCCCCGGGCUCAACCUGGGAACUGCAUUCGAAACUGGCAGGCUUGAGUCUUGUAGAGGGGGGUAGAAUUCCAGGUGUAGCGGUGAAAUGCGUAGAGAUCUGGAGGAAUACCGGUGGCGAAGGCGGCCCCCUGGACAAAGACUGACGCUCAGGUGCGAAAGCGUGGGGAGCAAACAGGAUUAGAUACCCUGGUAGUCCACGCCGUAAACGAUGUCUACUUGGAGGUUGUGCCCUUGAGGCGUGGCUUCCGGAGCUAACGCGUUAAGUAGACCGCCUGGGGAGUACGGCCGCAAGGUUAAAACUCAAAUGAAUUGACGGGGGCCCGCACAAGCGGUGGAGCAUGUGGUUUAAUUCGAUGCAACGCGAAGAACCUUACCUGGUCUUGACAUCCACAGAACUUUCCAGAGAUGGAUUGGUGCCUUCGGGAACUGUGAGACAGGUGCUGCAUGGCUGUCGUCAGCUCGUGUUGUGAAAUGUUGGGUUAAGUCCCGCAACGAGCGCAACCCUUAUCCUUUGUUGCCAGCGGUCCGGCCGGGAACUCAAAGGAGACUGCCAGUGAUAAACUGGAGGAAGGUGGGGAUGACGUCAAGUCAUCAUGGCCCUUACGACCAGGGCUACACACGUGCUACAAUGGCGCAUACAAAGAGAAGCGACCUCGCGAGAGCAAGCGGACCUCAUAAAGUGCGUCGUAGUCCGGAUUGGAGUCUGCAACUCGACUCCAUGAAGUCGGAAUCGCUAGUAAUCGUGGAUCAGAAUGCCACGGUGAAUACGUUCCCGGGCCUUGUACACACCGCCCGUCACACCAUGGGAGUGGGUUGCAAAAGAAGUAGGUAGCUUAACCUUCGGGAGGGCGCUUACCACUUUGUGAUUCAUGACUGGGGUGAAGUCGUAACAAGGUAACCGUAGGGGAACCUGCGGUUGGAUCACCUCCUU